rnacentral:rRNA from 1 species
GAUGAACGCUGGCGGCGUGCCUAAUACAUGCAAGUCGAGCGAACAGACGAGUAGCUUGCCUCUCUGACGUUAGGGGCGGACGGGUGAGUAAUACGUGGAUAACCUACCUAUAAGACUGGGAUAACACCGGGAAUCCGGAGCUAUUACCGGACAAUAUAUUGAACCGCAUGGUUCAAUAGUGAAAGACGGUUUUGCUGUCACUUAUAGAUGGAUCCGCGCCGCAGUAGCUAGUUGGUCAGGCAACGGCUUACCAAGGCUACGUUGAGUAGCCGACCUGAGAGGGUGGCUGGCCACACUGGAACGGGGACCCGGCCCAGGCUCCAUCGGGAGGCAGCAGUAGGGAAUCUUCCGCAAUGGGCGAAGGCUUGACGGAACAACGCCGCGGGAAUGAUGAGGGUCUUCGGAUCGUAAACCUCUGUUAUUAGGGAGGAACAAAUGUGUAAGUAACUAUACCCGUCUUGGCGGUGCCUAAUCGGAAAGCCGCGGCUAACUCCGUG